ACGCUCGACACCUACAGGAGGCAGCAGUGGGGGAUAUUGCACAAUGGGGGAAACCCUGAUGCAGCAACGCCGCGUGAGGGAAGACGGUUUUCGGAUUGUAAACCUCUGUCAUCGGUGACGAUAAUGACGGUAGCCGAUGAGGAAGCUCCGGCUAACUACGUGCCUGCAGCCGCGGUAAUCUGAGCGGGCUGGCAAGGC
rnacentral:rRNA from 1 species